UGGGGGAUAUUACACAAUGGGGGAAACCCUGAUGCAGCAACGCCGCGUGAAGGAAGAAGGUCUUCGGAUUGUAAACUUUUGUCUUGCGGGACGAAUAAUGACGGUACCGCAGGAGGAAGCCACGGCUAACUACGUGCCAGCAGCCGCGGUAAUACGUAGGUGGCGAGCGUUGUCCGGAAUUACUGGGUGUAAAGGGUGCGUAGGCGGAUUUGCAAGUCAGACGUGAAAACUAUCGGCUUAACCGGUAGCCUGCGUUUGAAACUGUGAGUCUUGAGUGGUGAAGAGGUAAGCGGAAUUCCUAGUGUAGCGGUGAAAUGCGUAGAUAUUAGGAGGAACACCAGUGGCGAAGGCGGCUUACUGGACUGUAACUGACGCUGAAGCACGAAAGCGUGGGGAGCAAACA
rnacentral:rRNA from 1 species